ACGGGGUGCAGCAGGCGCGAAACCUUUACACUGCACGCAAGUGCGAUAAGGGGACCCCAAGUGCGAGGGCAUAUAGUCCUCGCUUUUCUCGACUGUAAGGCGGUCGNGGAAUAAGANCUGGGCAAGACCGGUGCCAGCCGCCGCGGUAAUACCGGCAGCUCAAGUGAUGACCGAUAUUAUUGGGCCUAAAGCGUCCGUAGCCGGCCACGAAGGUUCAUCGGGAAAUCCGCCAGCUCAACUGGCGGGCGUCCGGUGAAAACCACGUGGCUUGGGACCGGAAGGCUCGAGGGGUACGUCCGGGGUAGGAGUGAAAUCCCGUAAUCCUGGACGGACCACCGAUGCCGAAAGCACCUCGAGAAGACGGAUCCNACGGUGAGGGACGAAAGCUAGGGUCUCGAACCGGAUUAGAUACCCGGGUAGUCCUAGCUGUAAACGAUGCUCGCUAGGUGUGACACAGGCUACGAGCCUGUGUUGUGCCGUAGGGAAGCCGAGAGGAGAGCCGCCUGGGAAGA
rnacentral:rRNA from 1 species